rnacentral:rRNA from 1 species
UACGUAGGGAGCAAGCGUUGUCCGGAAUCAUAGGGCGUAAAGCGCGCGUAGGUGGCCCUGUAAGUCCGUUGUGAAAGUCAAAGGCUCAACCUUUGAAAGCCGAUGGAUACUGCAGGGCUAGAGUACGGAAGAGGCGAGUGGAAUUCCUGGUGUAGCGGUGGAAUGCGCAGAUAUCAGGAGGAACACCAAUAGCGAAGGCAGCUCGCUGGGACGUUACUGACACUGAGGCGCGAAAGCGUGGGGAGCGAACAGG